rnacentral:lncRNA from 1 species
AGGUAAUACAUCAUAUCUGAAGAUAAAGAAAGCUGGCAUUAACAGAGUAAUUAUGAACAGAGUGCAACAGGACUGUAGUUAUGCCCUCUGAGUGAAGAACUGUCAUAGACAAAUAUUAACAUCUGGCCUGUUGUCCCACACACUUCUCAAUGGAGCAGGAGGGAGCUUGUAAGUCACAG